CCUACGGGAGGCAGCAGUGGGGAAUAUUGGACAAUGGGCGAAAGCCUGAUCCAGCCAUGCCGCGUGUGUGAAGAAGGCCUUCGGGUUGUAAAGCACUUUCAGUGGGGAAGAAAGCCUUGGGGCUAAUACCCUCGAGGAAGGACAUCACCCACAGAAGAAGCACCGGCUAACUCCGUGCCAGCAGCCGCGGUAAUACGGAGGGUGCGAGCGUUAAUCGGAAUUACUGGGCGUAAAGCGCGCGUAGGCGGUCUGAUAAGCCGGUUGUGAAAGCCCCGGGCUCAACCUGGGAACGGCAUCCGGAACUGUCAGGCUAGAGUGCAGGAGAGGAAGGUAGAAUUCCCGGUGUAGCGGUGAAAUGCGUAGAGAUCGGGAGGAAUACCAGUGGCGAAGGCGGCCUUCUGGACUGACACUGACGCUGAGGUGCGAAAGCGUGGGUAGCAAACAGGACUAGAUACCCUUGUAGUC
rnacentral:rRNA from 1 species